CCGAGUUUACAAACUCCCAACCCUUCUGUGAACCUACCUGCCGUUGCUUCGGCGGGACGCCCCGGCGCCCUGAGCCCGGACCCAGGCGCCCGCCGGAGACCCCAAACUCCACUGUAUUUUCGAGCGCCGUAUUUUUCUCUGAGUGGCAAACGCAAAACAAAUCAAUCA
rnacentral:misc_RNA from 1 species